rnacentral:lncRNA from 1 species
GAAAUGAUAUUUUGUAAUGUGCAUUACGAAUGUUUUUUGUAAUAAUAAUUCGCAUUGACCAUUAAGUGUUGAAAUAUGGGAUGCAGAAACGAGCUGAAGAUCAGCAAGAUAAAGAACAUCAGAUGAAGGGUGAUAAAGGAGGGUAGAGACGUCAUUGGAAAGAAGAAAAUUGGGAUCAUUUUCUCUUUCUGUUCACGCAUCAGUUGUAUAACAUAUUUUUUGUUAAAACUGUGCUGCUUAGCUUUAUUCGUGUAGAGGUAUAGCAUUCUAGAUUCUUCUCAUUCACUGCAUAAAUAUGUUCAAGGCUGAACCAUUGUAAAUAUCAAUCUCUAUAAAGUAAUUGCUUAAGCCUUCCUCCUGUUCUUCUGUUGCUUCCUCCAUUGGAGGGAUUACAUUUUCUAUUUUCUAUUUUCUUAUAUGGUAUCAGAGCAAUAACUAUGGCUGAUAAUUAAAGCACCACUGUGGGUACAACAAAUCCAAAUCCAAGCACUGAAGAAAAUGAUAACGUCAACCCAACACCAAAUACUCAUCACACUUCAAAUAUAAAUGACCCUACCCAUCCUUGCAGUCCAUAUUACAUUGGGGGAAACGACAAUUCAGGCGCAAUACUAGUCACUCACGUCCUUGACAAUACAACUAUUAUGCUUGGGCAAGAUCCAUAAAGAGAACACUUUGAAUUAAAAACAAACUCGGUUUCAUCGAUGGAACUCUCAGUGAACCAGCAAGCUCCAACCAUUUUCUGAUGGAACAUUGAUUGCGUUGCAAUGAUAUAGUGAUUGCUUGGCUGCAAAAUACCAUGUCCAUUGAGAUUAAAUCUCACACACUUUAUGCUGAAACGGCUCGUGAACUCUGGCUGGACCUAGAACAUCAGCUAGGACAAUUUCUGGCUCAGGAGCAGCAUGCACAAUUUCUGGCUCUAUUGCAAUCACAAAACAAUAAAUCUCUCACUGGUGCAACUCCUGCAGACACACAAAUUCCCAAAUUAUCUGGUAUCUCAUCUUGCUUAUUUACCUAUGGCAUCAAGCCUAAGUGUUCCAAUACCCCAUGGAUAAUAGAUACAGGAGCAACAGACCACAUGGUCUGUUGCACUUCAUUUUAUAGCACCAUUCAAGCCAAAGUAUCUUAUUUGGCGUCUCUCCCAAAUGGUGCUCUGGUUAAUGUCACACAUAGAGGAACUGUAAAAAUCACAGAGAAAUUAAUCCUGAAUAAUGUACUCUGUGUUCCAUCUUUUACCUUCAAUUUGAUAUUGUUGUCGAUUUUAUCCUGCAAGUAGACGGAUCGUAACAAGUAGUAAAGUGGACCUUUUAAGUUUGGAUUAUCGUUUUCAUGAGGACUAUACUUUAAUACUCAAUUUAUUAUGAAAAUAAACAAAAAAAUGAUUGAAUGUGAUCUUUAAAUCUAACGACUAAAAAUUUCGUCAAUGCACCAGAAAAAUGAGUGAGAAUUCAAAUACUAAAUGAAGAUUAGAGAGGAACAAAUUCACCUAUUGGUCACCUUUAUUUCUAAUAUCGGGAUUCAUAAAAUAGUGUUCGGUUGAAUUCUUCUAUUAUAUUCAACUUACACCUCUCGAGUUCUCAUUGAGUCUAUUUAAUUAGUUCAAUUCCAUAUCUCUAUGCAAAUUAAAUUUAAUUAAACGAAAUAACAAUUCUACGAAUUUCGAUAGGACCGCAGAAAUUAAUAUAGGUAUCUCUACACGUUAUAUUAAUUUAAUGAAUUUUAAUAUGUGAUCUAAACAAGAAUCCGCAUCCUACGUAAGUAUUGUUCACAAAAUCAUUGAAUAAUUGACCAGAAAAAUUCAAAGCAUUAAAAAAAAAAAUUAAAAUCCACACAUAAAAAAUAAAAGAAAAAGAAUCUCAAAUAAAAGAAAUAAAAAUCCCAAAUAGAUUACAUUGUUCGCCCUGAAAUUAAAUUUAGCUACGCAUAUUAAUGAGAGAAAAACACGAAUUUAUGGAAGAUGUCACCAGAUUAAUUGACGGAACGUGAAUAAUUUGCAAAAGUAAAUAUGUCAUCUUGUUUGCGUGUUGCUGUCUGCUUUUUUUUUUCGAUUUUUCUGCAACUCCAAAUUCCAUGUGUGUCACUCAAAUUCUGGCCACCUAAAUUUUUGUUUGUGCGCAUAUAUCUCUCAAGAAAAUAUUUCAAAGCCACCAAAUUUGACUAAAGAAAAAGGUAAUUUUUUCUUCUUCGAUUUUCGUACGUGUAUUCUAUGAUAUUGGCUACUCCUCCAGAAACUGUUAGUUUCCUAUGCGUUGAUAUGAAUAUAUAUAUAUAUAUAUAUAUAUCAAAACCUAGAGCCACUUUUGUUGACUAAAAAAAAGACUCUAAAAAGGACUCCAAUUCCUUUUGCCAACCCGGCCUGCAACCACUUUAAUAAAAACUCUAAUUCAUGCAUGCAUGUAGGGGUCAAAUAAACCACCAAUUGAAGUCAUUAAUAGUUAAAUUAUUCUUCAAGUUCUCCAUCUUUCAAGGUAAUACAAUUCAAUCCUUGAAUCUUUUUAUUCUUGCAACCCAUGUCUUCUUUGAUUCAAUUCAAGUCCUUACUUUCUAAAAUAUUCAAUUUGACCUUCAAACUCUUCAAUCUUUGAUUCAUGGUCCGGAUCAACUAUUGAAUUUUUACAACUUAGUCCCCAACUUUUGCAUUUUGCCCUUUUUUGCUUCAUUCCUUCAAUUCAUUUUCCUUCAAAAAAUUUCACCUAUUAAGCAUAAAAGACAAAAAAUUAGGAUAUAAUUUGUUAAAAGAACCAUCAAAUAUCGCUAUUUAAGGUAACGAAUAAGUAUAUAAAAUAAACUUAUCAAAUAUUCCCAAAUUUAAACAUUUAUUUGUCCUCAAACAAAACUAUAAACUAAAUAGUAAUAGACACACAAUUAUGCAAAAAUAUUUGGUUGGACAGUUUAGCUUUUUACCGCAUGAUUCAAGAUUUAAGUGUUAAUUUCACAAAGAUGAUUUAAAGUCACAAUACCAAACCAAUAUCCACUCUUCCAAAUUCCAAUACAAAAAUUAACGUGUGUGUGUGAAGAAUCGAGUAAUCAACCAUGACUGCACAAGUUGUUUCAAUUCCUGACCCUUAAUGUUCAUAUAUGUCAUUUCAUCACUCGUAAGAUUCACACACCCCAAAACUUAUUCUUUUUCACUUUUUCCCGGUGUAUAAUCUAAGGCUGAAUAUUUCAUUACUAUCCUCAUCCUCUCUAGUUUAGGUGGACGUUAUUAGUCGUAAAUCAGCACUUUAGUGAACAAGAAUUCUCCAAUUAUUUGAUUGCUUCGACUUCCAAGACUCAACUAGCUAAUUAUCUUGCAUCAAAAGUCAAAUUCCCUCAAAUAAGUGUUAGGACUUAACCAAUGUAUUUAGUGUUUUUGCUCUUUUCAUGUACUUGCUUUUUCUAUUUUUCACAAGUAUUUUUUUAUAUCCUCUCCAUCAAGCUUUCUAGAUGGCCCAUGUAGCAGGUUUUAAGCCGAUGACUUCCAAACUAGAUGAUUUUAGGGCACCAGAUUUUUAUAUACCCUUACAGGCUUAUCGAACCGAGUCAAAAAGGUUUCGAAGAGAACAAUUUUUUUUUCAAGUGCAACUUCGUCUCUAAUUGUUUUCUAAAUGACCGUUGUAACAAGCUUUAGGCCGAUGGCUCCCAAGUCAGAUGGCUUUAGGGCACCAGAUUUUAAAAUACCCUUAUAGACUUAAUCACUCGAAUUAUAAAGGCUUCAGAGAGAAGUUUAAAAUUUUCAAAUGUAUGUGCCUUGAUUAGUACAAUGGCCCUCAUCACACACUUAUUCAAACAAAUCGACCUCUAACUUAAAAUUUUCGCAAAGUUUUAUCAUGUUAGUCUAAGACAAUCCACACAUAAGUUUUCACACAUGGAAUCCACAUUCACAUUUGCAUCUUCCUACAACUGUAAAAUCAUCCCCAAACUGUGCUAAAUUUGGUCUAAAGAUAUAUAAUUUAUUAUAGUUUAGGUAAAGCAUCUAUGUCCAACUAGAUGAACGUAUCAAAAGCAAGAAACAACUCAUUUAAUUAUAAUGUCAAACUCAAUUUUAGUACACUUGUAAUAUCAAAUUUUGCAAUGUUGAGCUUCAAUUAGUCUAGCAUGCAUCAUAUCCACAGUUCAAAAAUCAACACCAAAUUUCAAAUUAAAGCAUCAUUGUCUACCACACUAUCUAAUCCACACAAGCACACAACUGAACAAAAGAGAAUUUUUUUUUAAUUUUUUCGAUUUAUUUCUUUUCUUUUUUAAAAAAAAAACAAACACACAAAAAUAUAAAAACAUACAAAAAAAAAACAAAAACUAAAAGUUUUUUCACCCCCAAACUUAAAACUGACAUUGUCCUCAAUGUCAUAAAGUAUAAAUAAGCACAUAAGGGGGGUAGGGAAGAAAAACAAGAUGGUACUCCCCAAAUUUUUCUGUUGAAUGUGUGAGGCACUAUGUGUGACGGCUGGAUAAUAUUCUUCAUCAUGCUUUCCUUUGGAUCUAUGUUGAUUUGAGUGUUCCACGACGUCAUAUUCUUGAAAAAUCAAAUUUGACAAAUUAAAUACAGCGAACAAGGGUUGCUUCGCUCAAACAAUUAAAAUAAACAACAAUAAAUUCAAGGGCCUAAGAGCAGAAGGAAUAUGGGUGAUGACUCCUAAAAAUUGAAAUAUACGUAAAUCAAUGCAACCUAGUAAACAAAAAAAAACUAUAUGCUAUGCGAUAUAAAAAGUAAAAUAAAAAAAUUUGAAAAUUGGGUUGCCUCCCAAUAAGCACUUCUUUUAAGUCAUUAGCUGGACUUUGUGCUACUAUUAUUCUAGUACAGCUAGGUUAAGGCUCUCUUUAGCGGUGGAGAAAUCUUCCACGUAGUGCUUGAUACAUUGGCCAUUUAUUUUGAAGUUUUCUUUUGUUGGAUGGUAUAAUUCAACUGUGCCGUAGAGAAACACCUGAGAGACCGUAAAAAGACCGGACCAUCUAAAUUUCAACUUUUCUGGAAAUAGUUUAAGUCUUAAAUUGUAUAAAAGCACUUGAUCUCCCACUCUAAAAAUUCUUUGCCUGAUAUUCUUUUCAUGUCACUGCUUCAUCUUUUCCUUAUAGAUGGCUGCAUUCUCAUAUGCUUCUUUUUUGAAUUCUUCCAGUUCAUGUAGCUGCAGUAUUCUUGUUUCUCCAGCCUUUUCGAGGUCCAUAUUUAACUGCUUCAAUGCCCAGUAUGCUCUAUGUUCAAACUCCACUGAUAGGUGACAUGCUUUUUCAAAAACUAAUCGAUAUGGAGACAUCUUAAUAGGCGUCUUGUAAGGAGUGUGAUAUGCCUAUAAGGUAUUGUCUAAUUUCUUUGACCAAUCUUUACGAGAUGCAUUCACAGGGAGCUCCAUAAUUCUUUUCAAUUAUCUGUUCGAGGUUUCACCUGUCCACUUGUUUGAGGGUGGUAAGGAGUGACAAUUCGAUGUUGUACCCCGUACUUAUGCUGCACUGCCUAGAAUAAUCGAUUGCGGAAGUGAGUUCCACCAUCACUUAUUAUGGCCCUAGGUGAUCCAUAGCGAUUAAAGAUGUGUUUCUUUAUGAAGUCCACCACCACUUUUGCGUCAUUUGUAAGCAAUGCUUUAGCUUCUACCCAUUUAGAGACAUAGUCCGUUGCCACUAGGAUGUAUCGAUUGUUAUAAGAUGAUGGAAAAGGACCCAUAAAAUCAACCCCCCAGACAUCAAAUAUUUUCACCUCCAAAAUGUUGUUAAGUGGCAUCCCGUGACGCGCUGAUAUGUAACCUGUUAUCUGACAUUUAUCACGUGACCUGCAAAAAUUGUGGCAGUCCUUGAACAGUGUAGGCCAAAAGAAACCACAUUGAAGCACCUUUGCUACUGUUUUAGUGGGCCAAAGUGUCCUUCAUAAGCCGAAGCAUGAACCUGUGAAAAGAUAGGUUUCAUCUCAUCCUCUGGCACACAUCUCCUAAUGAUUUGGUAUGCAUCUCUCCUGUAUAAAUUUGGAUCAUCCCAAUAAUAGAAUUUCGCUUCAUGGAGCAGCUUCUUCUUCUGUUGAUAGGUGAGAUCAAGAUCCAUACAGUCACUAGCUAUGUAAUUAACAAUGUCUGCAUACCACAGAGCCUUUUCUAUCUGCAAUAACCGCUCAUCUGUGAAGACCUUAUUAAUAUCUAUAUCAUCUGAAUCACGCAGUUGCUCCAGCCUUGAUAAAUGAUCCGCUACCUGAUUUUUUGUACCCCUUUUUGUUGCAAAUUUCAAUGUCAAACUCUCGCAGUAACAGAACCCAUCGAAUCAGCCUAGGUUUAGCAUCCUUCUUCUCAAACAGAUAUUUCAAUGCUGCAUGGUCAGUGUAGACUAUCACCUUUGAACCAAUCAGAUAGGAACGAAAUUUGUCGAAGGCAAAGACCACUGCUAGCAUCUCUUUUUCUGUUAUGGCAUAGUUGAUUUGAGCAUUUAUCAAGGUUUUACUGUCAUAGUAGAUUACAUGUAACACUAUUCCUUACGUUAGCCAAGCAACGCUCCCACUGCGAACUCACUAACAUUACACAUAAGUUCGAAAGGUAGAUCCCAAUCAGGUGGUACUAUUACAGGUACAGAAGUUAACUUUUCUUUCAAAGUAUUAAAGGUAUUUAAGCAUUCAUCCGAAAAGUGAAAUGGCACAUCCUUCUCCAAUAGAUUACACAGAGGUUUUGUAAUUUUGGAGAAAUCAUUAUGAACCUUCUAUAAAACCCUGCAUGUCCUAAGAAACUUCUGAUCCCCUUAACUGAAUUAGGAGGCUGCAAUUUUUCAAUCACUUGUAUCUUGACUUUGUCAACUUCAAUGUCCUUUGAGGAUAUCCCGUGGCCCAGCACUAUCCCCUCUUUUACCAUGAAAUGACAUUUUUUCCCAAUUGAGCAGCAGAUUCUUCUUUCACACCGUUGUAAUACAAGCAAUAUUCAUUCCAAGCAAUCAUCAAAAGAAUUCCUAAAUACUGAGAAAUAUGGCCAUCAUGCACCGUUGAAAGGUUGCAGAUGCGUUGCAUAGACCAAAAUACAUCCUUCUAAACGCAAAAGUUCCAUAAGGGCAUGUGAAUGUUAUUUUCUCUUGGUCUUCUAGAGCAAUAACUAUUUGAUUGUAUCCUGAAUAUCCGUCCAGAAAGCAAUAAUGAGAAUGUACUGCCAACCUCUCCAACAUCUAAUCAAUGAAUGGCAAUGGAAAAUGGUCCUUUCUGGUGGCAUUGUCUAGCUUUCUAUAAUCUAUACAUACUCUCCACCCUGUCACUAACCAUGUUGGUAUCAGCUCAUUGUUCUCAUUCUUCUCUAUAGUAAUUCCACCUUUUUUAGGCACCACAUGUACUCGACUCACCCAAGAACUAUCAGAGAUGGGAUAGAUAAUACCUGCAUCCAGUAAUUUCAACACUUCUUUUCUCACAACUUUGUAGUGAGAUUUAAUCUACAUUGUCCUUCCACUGAUGGCUUUGAUCCGUCCUCCAUUAAAAUCUUAUGCAUACAAAGAGUUAGACUGAUUCCUCUGAUAUCAGCUAUUAUCCAUCCAAUUGCUGUUUUGUGCUGCUUGAUUACCUCCAACAAUUUAUUCUCCUCUUCCCUUGUCAUAUCAUUCGUGAUGAUUAUGGAAGUGUUGUGGAGUCUCCCAAAUAUGCGUAACAGAGAUGUGAAGGCAAUGACUUUAGUUCAAGAGUGAGUACCUUUUCCACUAAAGGUACCGGGGGUGAAGGUUUGUCGCAAAGAGAUUCAUACUGUCAAUGUCUCCUUCCUAUUGGUUGCUCGGUCAAGUUAACAACACAUUCAGCUUUUCCUACAUUUGUUGCUUCCGAUUGUGUAAUGCUCUGUCUUAAAUGUAUCUGCCACAAGCUCUUCAAGAACAUCUAUUUGGCAACAAGUGUCGAAAGUCAAUGGAUGUUUCAUUGCCUUGAACACGUUGAAUAUAACUUGCUCAUUGUCUACCUGAAGAAUCAUCUUUCCAUCAUAAACAUCAAUUAAUGCUCUUCCCAGUAGCUAAGAAAGGUCUUCCCAAGAUUAGAGGAAUGUUUACGUCUUAUUCCAUGUCCAAAAUAAUAAAGUCAGCCGAAAAAAUAAAUUUGUCAACUUUGACUAGCACAUCUUCAAUAAUCCCCUUCGAUCGUUUGAUCAAUCUGUCAGCCAGUUGCAAAGAGAUGGUUGUAGGUUUUGCUUCUCCUAAUCCAAAAGACCUAUAAACAGAAAGAGGCAUAAGGUUAACACUGGCACCCAAAUCACAUAAAGAAUGUUCAAAAUAAUUAGAACCAAUUGUGCAAGGUAUCAUGAAACUCCCUGGGUGUUUUAGUUUAGGAGGUAGUUUUUUUCAAUAGAAUUGCACUACACUCCUCAUUCAGGCAGACUAUCUCAUGUUCUUCCAACUUUCUUUUGUUAGACAGGAUCUCCUUCAAGAAUUUAGAAUAGCUGGGUAUUUGGACAAUUGCAUCUGCAAACGGAAUAAUAAUGUGCAGUUUCUUGAAAAUCUCCACAAACUUAGCAAACUGCUUGUCCAACUUCUUUCUCUGUAGCCUCUGAAGGAAGGGAAUUAGUGGCAUAUAAGCUUUCAUGGGGCUGAGUACUCUCAUCAUGGAUGUUUCUUUCCUUUUAUCCUCCUCGUUAGUUGGUUGUUCAGACUAUGCUUCUGUCACAGCCUCUUCACCCAUUACUUUUUUGUCUUUUAUGUCUGGUCUCUUCACAUGUAUCUCUGGAAGUUGCACCCCAAUUCUAGUUGUAAUAGCUUGCACUUGCUCUUUUGGAUUGAUCAUUGUGUUGCCUGGCAAUGUCCCUUGUGGGCGUUCUGCAAGCUGUUGAGCUAUCUGAUCAAUUUGAGUUUCCAGCUUCUUAAUGGAUGUUUGCUGUUCUGAAAGUUAGUGUCAAUCUGCUAGAACACCUUGUCUAUCUUCUGCAGGUAUUGGUUGAACAUCUCCCCAAACUUGGUUUUUUCUCCUGUUGUGCAUUGUUUGAACUAUUCCCUUGCUAAUUAUCCGACCAUCUGAAGCUUGGGUGUUAUCUCCAUCCUGGGUUGUUUGUUUGUGAAAAAAGAUUAAAAUUUCAAGAGCCUUUUGAAUGAAGUUGACUUGUUCCACCGAAAAGCCCAUAGAUGUGCAAUUUUCUGUUAGGUGAUUUCCCCCGCAGUUUUCGCAGGAUGGGCUAGUUAUCACUGCAUGUGCUCUUUUUGUUUGUGACUUGACCAAUAAUUCUACUUGUUUUGUCAAUGCUGCUAUUUGGACGUUGGUAGAUGCUAUGCUGUCUAAUUCAUUUAUUUUCGCUGCUUUUGGAGGCACCACUCUUUCUAUUGAAAACAUGGAAUGAGAAGUAGCAAUCAACUUAAACAGAUCCAUACAUUGUUGCACUGAUUUCCCUAUGAUCGAUCCUCCUGCAGAGGAAUCCACUUGAGAUUUGGAUAGUGGUGGAAGUCCUGUGUAGAAAUACUGCACUUGAUUUCCAAUAGUAAUCCCAUGAUUUGGACACUUCCUCAUCAACUCCUUAAAUCUGUUCCAGACCUCGUGAUAGCUUUUCCCAUCUUUUUGUUGAAAGGUUUGAAUUUCCAAUCUGAUUUUUGCUACUUUAGCUGGUGGAAAAACUUGUUGCAAAAUUUCCUAGUCAGUUCCUCCCAUGUGAUAAUACUUCAAUCAGGUUCAGCAUCCAGCCAUUCCAAUGUUGUAUCUCUCAGUGUAUAAAGAAAUAACCGUAGCUUGAUGGCGUCCUCAUUAACCCAGGGAGCAUGGUAAUUCUGACAAUUCCUGAGAAAUCUUGAGAUAUGUGUGUUUGGAUUCUCAUGGGGUAGCCCAUAGAAUUGCAAAGUGUUAUUCAUCAAAUCAAUCCAAUCAGCCUGUAUCUGGAAGUUGUUUACCCCAAAAUCUGGAUAUAAUAUGCUAGACCGUGUGGGUGCUGCUAUAGGCGUCAAAAACAUAAAAACUGGCAAGUCCCCUUCAUUUACUUCCCUUUGCUCUUGUUGUUGAUCUCUCACGGUCAUUUGUCCAAUUGGUUGUAAAGGGAUAUGAUUGUUUAGAUUGUUAGUCAUUUGAUGUUGUUAUUUUUGUUUAUAUUCCCUGUGUGUUCGUCUGAAGGUAUGUUCUAUUUUCGAAUCAAAUAGUUCAAAAUCGUCGUCUUGGGCACGGAGCAUACAACGAACACGAUUUUCUGUAAAUAAAAGAAAAUAAGAAAAUUACAGAAAAUCAAAUAACAAUUAAAAAUAAGAUAAAAAUAAAAUAAAUAAAUUAAGACUAAAAGUGAUGGUCCCUGGCAACGACGCCAAAAACUUGUUAUCGAUUUUAUUCCGCAAGUGGACGGAUCGUAACAAGUAGUAAAGUAGAUCUUUUGAUUCCUGAUUAUCGUUCUUACGAGAACUAUACUUUAAUACUCAAUUUAUUAUUCCUAACUUCUAUUUGAUGAAAAUAAACAAAAAAUGAUUGAAUGUGAUCUUUAAAUCUAACGACUAAAAAUUUCGUGAAUGCAACAAAAAAAUGAGUCAGAAUUCAAAUAAUAAAUGGAGAUUAGGGCGGAACAAAUUCACAUAUUGGUCACCUUUAUUUUUAAUAUCUAGAUUCAUAAAAUCUAAAGUAGUGUUAGGUCGAAUUCUUCUAUUGUAUUCAAAUUACCCCUCUCUAGUUCUCGAUGAGUCUAUUUAAUUAGUUCAAUUCCAUAUUUCUAUGCAAAUUAAAUUUAAUUAAACGAAAUAACAGUUCAAAGAAUUUCUAUAGGACCGUAGCAAUUAAUAUAGGUAUCUCUACACAUUAUAUUAAUUUACCGAAUUUUAAUAUGUGGUCUAGAAUCCGCAUCUCUACGUAAGUCUUGUUCACGAAAUCAUUGAAUAAUUGGCCAGAAAAAUUCAAAGCCUUAAAAAUAUAAUUAAAAUCCACACAUAAAAAAUAAAAGAACAAGAAUCUCAAAUAAAAGAAAUAAAUGUCCCAAAUAGAUUAUAUUAUUCGCCCUAAAAUUAAAUUUAGCUAUGCAUACUAAUAAGAGAAAAACAUGAAUUUAUGGAAGACAUCACCAGAUUAAUUGAUGGAACGUGAAUAAUUUGCAAAAGUAAAUCUGUUGUCUUGUCUGCGUGUUGCCGUCAGCUUUUUUUCAGGUUUUUCUUCAACUCCAAAUUCUGUGCGUGUCUCUUAAAUUCUGGCCGCCUAAAUUUCUAUUUUUACGUGUAUAUCUCUCAAGAAAAUAUUUCACAACCACCAAAUUUGACUAAAGAAAAAUGGAAUUUUUUCUCCUUCGAUUUCCGUGCGUGUAUUCUAUGAUAUUGGCUGCUCCUCCAAAAACUGCUGGUAUCCUGUGCGUUGAUAUAUAUAUAUAUAUAUAUAUAUAUAUAUUCAAAACCUAGAGCCACUUUUGUUGACUAAAAAAAAGACUCUAAAAAGGACUCAAAUUUCUUCUGCCAACCAGUUUGCAGCCACUUUAAUAAGAACUCUAAUUCAUGCAUGCAUGUAGGGGUCAAAUCAACCACCAAUUGAAGCCAUUAAUAGUUAAAUUAUUCUUCAAAUCCUCCAUCUUUCAAGGUAAUGCAAUUCAAUCCUUGAAUCCUUUUAUUCUUGCAACCCAUGUCUUCCUUGAUUUAAUUCAAGUCCUUCACUUUCUAAAAUAUUCAAUUUGACCUCCAAACUCUUCAAUCUUCGAUUCAUAGUCCAGAUCAACUACUGAAUUGUUACAACUUGGUCCCCAACUUUUGCAUUUCGCCCUUUUUUGCUUCAUUCCUUCAAUUCAUUUUUCUUCAUAAAAUUUCACCUAUUAAAUAUAAAAGACAAAAAUUUAGGAUAUAAUUUGUAAAAAGAAUCAUCAAAUAUCGCUAUUUAAUGUACCGAAUAAGUGGAUAAAAUACACUUAUCAGAUAUCAGCUAGAAAACUGACACAAACCUCUAAAUGUUGCCUGAUAUUCUUCCCUGACAAAUGCUUUUUGCAGGACCUUUUGACUUGGAAAAAGACUAGAAUGGGUGAAGUGAGGCAAGGACUAUAUCAUUUGAUGCAAUCUCAAGUCCCUCCAUCAGCUUUUACAGAUGCUCUUUCUCUCUUUCAAAACAAAAUUUCAAUGUCAGCAGCCAUCUUUAACAACAAUAAGGACUUUGAUCUUUGGCACUAUGGGCUAGGACAUCCAUCUCACUCUAGAUUAGAUUUGUUGAAUGUGAAUUAAAAUGCUAAGCUAACCAAGGAAGCUUGUUCUAUUUGUCCUAUGGCUAAAAUGCAUAGAUUACCAUUUUCUGUCAAUCAUAACAAAUCUAAGAAAGUUUUUGAUCUCAUACAUUGCGACCUUUGGGGUCCUUGCACUAAAACCAGUUAUGAUGGAUCUAAAUAUUUCCUAUCCAUAGUUGAUGAUUUUAGUAGAUGUACACGGGUCUAUAUGUUGAAAACCAAAUUAGAAGCUACUGCAGCUUUGCAAGGAUUUUGUGCCUUAAUAAAUACUCAAUUUUAGUCACAAGUGAAGGUGAUUAGGACAGAAAAUGGGGGAGAAUUUGAAAUGAAGGAAUAUUACCAUAAAAUGGGGAUAAUUCACCAGAAAAUGUGUGUUGAAACACCACAGCUGUUGGGUUUUUGAUACCCAAUAAAUUUCGGGCUAUGAUGUUAACGUGGGUUAAUAUUAUUUUAUAGGCAUAGGCCGAUGAAUGAAAUAAAUCCAACAACCAAGUCCAUGAGCUACACCCGGCCCAGUUGUAUUCCUUAUGGAUGGCUUGAAUCUUGGCCCGUUUACCCCUUUAUUGGCUCAACUUAAAGCCUAACCCUAGAGUAUAUAUUUGGCUAUAACCCUAGCCACUUUCAUAUGAUGAGUGUGUGAUUUUGAGAGAAGAAGUUGUGAAUCCCGGCUGCCCCCUUUUUGUGUGAGAAACAAGGUGUCCAGAAGUGUCCAGAACGCUUGUAUAACAUGUGCAAUUGGUGGUUCUUUCAUAGUAUACCUUUGUGGUAUCUUCUCCUAGUCUUUGUGGCCAUAAAUCAUCAUCCUUUCUUGUCCUACGUGGGUAAGAUUGCAUAGCAACCAAGGUGAAUCAAUUGGUUGUGGUUUGGAGCCGAUUGGACUGGUUGUUGGUUGAGAAAUGUGCGUUGGAUUGAGCCUGGAAAACCACCGUUUGAAGAUCCUUUUGAGAGAGCUUCUGCAACAACAGCAAAAUGCAAUAAUAGAAAGAAAGCAUCAACAUAUUCUUAAUGUUGCAAAAGCUCUAAAAAUCCAAAGUAAAAUUCCCAUGAGGUUUUGGAAUGGCUGAAUCCUUACUGCCCUGUAUUUAAUAAAUAAAACACCCUCACCUUUACUUGAAAACAGAAGUCCCUUUGAAAUCCUGUUCAAACACAAACCAAAUUACUCACUUCUUAGAGUCUUUGGAUGUCUUGCUUUUGCUUUAACCUUAGUUAAUCACAGAACCAAGUUCAAACCAAGAGCCAAGAAAUGUGUAUUUUUAGGAUAUCCUUUUGGACUAUAAGGAUACACACUCCUUGAUCUUGAAUCCAAAAAGGUUUUUAUCUCAAGAUAUGUAGUAUUUUGUGAAGACAAAUUUCCUUACAAAGACAACAGUGCAUCUGAAAAUGGUAACACUAAGUCAUCACAACCUGCCCUUACUGACAUCAACACAGAGUAUCACAUUCCCUUUUCUCCUAAAAAUACUUCCAACGAGAUGGUAACAGAUGAGACUGAAGAAAAUGAUGAAAAGUCUCCCUCACUUUCUGAGGCAAACAAUUAUCCUAUAGGGUCACCCCCCUCACCAAACACAAUACCAUAAACAUGCACCAACCAACACGAAAAUCCUUAAGAACCAAGGAAAUUCUCCCUUACCUUGAGGACUAUGUCUGUCAGCAAGCCUCAUUUCAUUCAUCACAAAAGUUGGACAAGAACAAAGGUCUUCAUGCCCCAGGUAAUGUUUUUCCUCUCACUGCUACUAUGUCAAAUCACAGACUGUCAAAUAAUCACAAAGCAUUCAUAACUUCCAUAAAUACACAUGUUGAGCCUAACACAUUUCAAGAAGCACUGGCCUCACGUGAUUGGUAUAGAGCCAUAAGUGAUAAAAUUGUUGCCCUUGAGAUGAAUAACACUUGGAUUCUUCCUCCUAAUAAGAAGUCCAUUGGAUGUAAGUGGGUGUACAAGGUAAAAUAUAAGGCUUAUGGGACUGUUGAAAGAUACAAGGUCAGGCUUGUGGCCAAAGGAACAAUAGGAAGGAUUGGAUUAACAUGAGACCUUUUCACCUGUGGCAAAGAUGAUAACGAUCAGAACUUUACUUGUUGUUGUAGCCAUAAAGGGCUCUGACGAUUAAUCAACAAUUCGAAGUGCUUUUCUUAGAACAUGAACUCCUAGCCAUUUAUGCGUUAUUCAAAAAAUUAGUAAAAAAUCGAUUAGAUUAGAAUAAAAGAAAUCUGUAAAAAAGUACCUCGCUGGUUAUACAAAUUAACCAGCAAGUUGGAACAAGAAGCACGAGAAGAUCAAGAAAACGGACCAUUAGAUCAUGAAAUUCGUUCAAGAAAAGCCAAAUGUGUGUUGGAAUGGUUUUUGAAUCAAGGAUUUUUCCAUUUUGUAUUUGAGAUGAAUUCGAAAUUGGUCGAAUUGUGUAAUCGUCAAUCAUUAACACCGGUAACUGACCUAAAGCAAUUUGAUUAUAAUUCAAUUCGUGAUAAUUAUAAGCAGAAAGUUCAUAUUCUUCAGUUUAGAUGCCCUGGACUGACAUGUCACUUGGCAGGAGGGUCUAUUUCUUAAUUCAAGUUCCCUCUUAUUAACUGGAAUCAAAUAAUUAGUAGAUCUGUUCCGAUCAAAAUGGGAAUGGGCUAGGGUUAUGAACUUAUAAUCUGAGCAUUUGUAUUUAUUUGAUGUGAAUAAUGUAUUUUUACACGGAGAUCUAGAUGAGGAGGUAUAUAUGGAAAUGCCUCCUGGCCAUCCUGAUGUAGGGCAUUCAAAGGUUUGUAGGCUAUUGAAGAGCUUGUAUGGGCUCAAAUAAGCAUCCCGACAAUGGUACUCCAAGCUUUCAACUUUCAUCGUUGAACAAGGAUUUACUCAAUCGAAGGCAGACUACAGCUUGUUCACAAGAUGUACUGAGAGCUCUUUCACUGCCAUCCUUAAUUGUGGCCAGUAGCUAUAUGAUCAUCAUUAACUCUCUCAAGGCUUUACUAGAUAAGAAGUUCAAGAUCAAAGAUUUGGGCACGCUAAAAUAUUUUUGGGAAUAGAGGUAGCAAGUCUGAUAAAGGUAUCCAUAUUUGCCAACGAAAGUAUGCUCUUCAUAUACUUGCAGACUCAGGAACAAUAGAGUGUGUACCAACAAGGAUACCUUUAGAUUAAAAUGUAAAGAUAUCCAAGACAAAUGGAGAGCCUCUUUCUGAUCCUAGCAUGUACAGAAGACUUGAUGGAAGGUUAUUAUAUCUGACCAUUACCAAACCAGUCAUAUCAUAUUCAGUCCAGUUAUUAAGCCAAUUCAUGAGUACUCCUCGCACCUCUCAUUUGAAUGCAGCUAAUAAAUUGUUGAGAUACAUAAAAGGAGCCCCAGGACAAGGAUUGUUGUUUCCUGUUGAUUCAAAUUUGCAACUCAAUGCUUACAGCGAUUCAAAUUGAGGAGCUUGUCCAGAUUCACGAAGAAGUGUCACGAGAUAUUGCGUGAUGCUUGGAAGAUCCCUAAUAUCUUGGAAAUCAAAUAAGCAAAGCACGAUAUCCAGGUCUUCAGCAGAAACAGAAUAUAGAGCCAUGGCAAAUGUGUGUUGUGAACUUACUUGGCUUAGAUACUUGUUCCAGGACUUGAGAAUAAAUCAUCCAUAGGCGGCCUACCUGUUCUGUGACAAGAAGUCUGCACUACACAUAGCGGCCAAUCCAGUUUUCCAUGAAAAGACCAAACACAUUGAACUAGAUUGCCACUUGAUACGAUAUAAAAUCCAAGAAGAAAGCAUAAUUGCUGAACAUCUUAGCAGCAAUUCUCGAGUUGCUGACAUUUUGACAAAGCCAUUGAACUCUUCCCAAUUUUACCAACACAUGGACAAGAUGGGAGUUGUUGAUAUCCACUCUCCAUCUUGCAAAGGGUGUUGAAAUAUUUGAUGCAAAAACAAGCUGAUGAUCAGCAAGAUAAAGGACAUCGGAUGAAGGAUGAUAAAGGCGGGUAGAGAGGUCAUUGCAAAAGAAGCAAAUUGGGAUCAUUUUCUCUUUCUAUUCAUGCAUCAGUUGUAUAGCAUCUUUUCUGUUAAAACCGUGC